rnacentral:lncRNA from 1 species
ACUCACUCAUCAGUGAUCUUCUCGAUACUACAGUGGUGUGAGUGGUUUUUUAACCUGCGAUGUCAUUGGCUAUUCAUAGUGAGGCUACUGAGUUUGACUGCACAUUUUUUUGAUCCCUAGUCAUUCGAAUCUUUGUUGUGUAUGUUGGCUUCAGUAGGUUUAGAUUCAUUGUUUGGAGUAUGAUGCACUUAGAUAAAAUUUAUCGACCUUGAUAGAAAAGGAGAAGUUCUAUGCGAUUUACAAGAUUGAGUUCAGAAAAUCUUUGGCCAA